rnacentral:lncRNA from 1 species
GAAAAAUCAACGUAAAACACAGUUCAUGUCAUUAUUUUCUUAGUUUCUCUCUAAACUCUCACAAUUUUAAAUUUACGUAAUUCUUUACCUGAAUUCAUAUCAUCUUCAUGGAAACCACAAUUCUCUUAAUGCAAUGCUAUAGAUUUAUAGACAAUACUAUUGAAUUCUUUUAGUAAAUUUUUUUCACCAUAUUGCAUUAGGAGUCAUUUUCCUACUUGCAAAAUGAUUCUCCUUUCCAAUAUAGUUCUUGAAGUUACCAUCUUGGUCCCUUUUCUUAAUGAAAAUGAAUUCUUUUAACUUAUUGCACUGUUUCAUUUUUAAUGCCAAAUUUGGGUCUAACCAACACGUGAUGCCAUAAAUAUAAUGCUUUGUAGAGAAGAGAAGACACGGAUUUUCCAACAAGUGGAUGGCUGUAUAGAUCAUAACAAGAUAUGGAGUGAAGGCUUAUGAUGGGCGAGGAGUCACAUUGUCCGUAGACAGUCAAGUUUCAGUACAGCAGUGGCGCUACGGGAGCACGUUGAAGUCCAUGAGUACCCACGCACUCUCAAUGGUGAGUAACAUUUUUUCCACUAAGGUUGAUGAAGGUAUGAAACCUGCUAGUUUAAUAGUUUUUCAAUGUGGAGCUUUAAAGGUACACGCCCUUCUGUUGAUGUAAAGAAAAAUGCUUCUAACGAUUGGGAGAUUCGUUAUAUUGUAUCGCAAGAUUAAAACGGCGUUUAAAUGGCUAAGGUUGCCUAUAAUAUUUAGGAAAAUUUUUCAUUUUGGAGAUGGCGAAUUUGGAACAACUAAAGAGCAUUAACUAAUCAGGUUGUUUCUACAAGACAACUUGAUCUUAAGGGCAUGCAAAGAAAAUAGGUGUACGGUGUACAUUUUGCAUUCAAGAGUGUGGACGCCAUGGCUUAUAUCAUUUGCAUGUAAAUCAGCAUUAUUCGAUUUAUAUAGCCCCAUUUGGUUUAGUUAAAAAAAUAAAUUCAAAGUUAACAAUUAAGUUAAAACAUAUAAUUUAUAGAAUUCAUAACUUCGAUUAACUUUUCAAUUACACAUUUCAUCAACUUUUAUUAAAAUUUAAUAAAAAAUUGUUUUUUUUAACGAAACUAAACAAAAGCAUAAUUAACAAGUAUUUAUCGAGUGGAGCAUGGCAUUACAAGAUAUUGGAUAACCAUGGUAUUUGAAGAUCGAUGAAGAAAGGAUAUGUAUGUCAUUUUAAUUUAUGAAAUUCAUAUUAUCUUUCACUUAUUGCUUCAAUUAAGUCUUUCAAUAUUUUACAGUUUUUAGGACUUAGAGGUAUAUUUUAAUUAAUAAUACUAUCUAGCAUAAGUGGUAAUUAGUAUCGAUUUAUGUAACAAUGAGGAUUCACUUAGACUUCUCCAAUGAAUUGGACAAGUCAUGAUGAACCCUCAUAUGUGUGUUUCACAUUCUUGUCCAUGCUAUUAAAUUUGAUAUAUAAUUGAUAAUUUAGUGAAUUUUUACUUAAUUUAGAGUAAAUAUAAUAAGGAUAACCUGUAUUUUGAGGCAUUUUGAGCAAAAAGAGGAUCUUUGAGCUAAUUGUUACGCUCUUUUGAACUUCUGCAGCCGGGAUGACUUGCUGAUUGGAUAAUCCAUUUGUGGUCUGGUUUACUGAAUUUCCGUGUAUAAAAGAUAAAUGUGUUUAAAUUAUUUUAUUUCAAGUGUUGAAAAAUUGUGUGUAUGUGACAACGGUUCUAUUGUUUUUUAUAUAGUAAUGUAUAUCAGCGCACAUUCUUAUUUGUCGUGUUUGGUUCGUUUGAAGGGGUAGCGAUACCAUCAGCCUUGUGUUGACCCCGUGUGGCGUGUUUCUUUGCCCUGGCGAACAUUCUCAGUAACGUCUCGAAUCUAGAUUCCACUAUUAUUUCAAGUGAGUUGACAUUAUCCUUGAUUUCAGCUUUGUGACUCCAAUGGCUGUGAUUGGGUCGCCUGUAUGUCAAGCAUUUGAUUCAUAAUAUCCUCUAGAACUCAGAUGAUGGGUGGCUACAAUUAACGUUCACAUGGUUCUAGGAUUAAUUGUGGCUGGGUAAUAUAUACAUAAAUGAGAAAAAUUUCAUGUAAUGUGAACCAACACACCUCUACUAUUCUUGGUUGGUCUUGUUUAAUAUUGUGGGAGCAUGGCAUAAACGAGGGAUUAAAAGAGCUUGCAUAAUUGUGGUCUUUUGCUUGGUGGAUUGGGUCAUUCAAAAGGUCAGCUCCGGCAGCAAUAGAUGAUGGAAAAGUAAUGCAUUCCCUUUCCAGUAACCCCUGAAAGUAAUGUGUCAUCUUCUCCACAUUGGUCGAGUGUAUCAUCACGACUUCAACCUGAAAGUUAGAAGCUGUGUAUUUUCAGUGACUUCGAUAUAAUCACAGCAAUAUUUUACAUAAUUUAAUAUGUACCUAAUAAUUGAUGUUUUGAAGCAAAAUAUGAUAUGAACAAGUGUCUAUAAUUAGAAUUUGUACCUCUAGCAUAUUGAACAUAUUCUUGUCAAUUGCUGUAGAAGAUACUCAUGAAUCAUUGUUGCUCCAGUAUAUAAUGCGAGGGUAGCCGCAGUUCACUCUUGAACAUAUUUUCCCAGACAAUGAUGGAAU